rnacentral:tRNA from 1 species
GACCCAUUAGUGUAAGUGGUUAACACAUCGGCCUUUCAAGCCGAAGAGUACGGGUUCAAGUCCCGUAUGGGUCA